rnacentral:rRNA from 1 species
UACGGAGGGUGCAAACGUUGCUCGGAAUCAUUGGGCGUAAAGCGAACGUAGGCGGCUAUGUAAGUCGGGUGUGAAAGCCCUCGGCUCAACCGAGGAAGUGCAUUCAAAACUGGGUGGCUUGAAUACUGGAGAGGAUGGCGGAAUUCCCGGUGUAGAGGUGAAAUUCGUAGAUAUCGGGAGGAACACCAGCGGCGAAGGCGGCCAUCUGGACAGAUAUUGACGCUGAGGUGCGAAAGCGUGGGGAGCAAACAGG